rnacentral:rRNA from 1 species
UACGUAGGGUGCAAGCGUUUGUCCGGAAUUAUUGGGCGUAAAGAGCUCGUAGGCGGUUCGUCGCGUCGGCUGUGAAAUCCCGAGGCUCAACCUCGGGUCUGCAGUCGAUACGGGCGGACUGGAGUACUGCAGGGGAGACUGGAAUUCCUGGUGUAGCGGUGAAAUGCGCAGAUAUCAGGAGGAACACCGGUGGCGAAGGCGGGUCUCUGGGCAGUUACUGACGUGAGGAGCGAAGGCGUGGGGGAGCGAACGG